GCAUUUGACCGCUCCUCCCUCCGCGUUGGAGGCGGAAUAGUGGGUUUUGCUGCAACCGGUUUAUUUUCCUUCUGUUUUCACCCAUUCUGGCACAAUCUGGCGCCAUCGUCCUUCUUGUGAGGCCAAGCCUGAAAAUGCGAAGCAGAGAGGCAGGACCAAAAUUGAGGCGAAUCCAGGAACCUGCCAAUGGGUCUCCGGGUGCGGUCUCUGAAACUGGAGGAUAUCGGGAGGAAAGGCUCUCCGAUGCGGAGAUAAUGGGGAAGCUCUUGGCAUGGUUGGCUGUAGGUAUGUGAUACCGGAGGAGCAGGAGUCAAAUAGGAUACGCCGACUUUUAAUUCAAGGAACCCUUUUCUGAAACACUUUGCCACAAUGAAGGAAAUAAGGAAUAAAAUUGAAGGGUGUUUUUCUUAGAGAACAUCAUUUGUCAUAUUUAUUUGAUCAAGAAGUUGAAGAUUUAUAUAAUAAGGAUCUAGUUUGAAGCACUAAGAAGAAUAAGACAUCAGUUUGAAAAGAGGCUCU
rnacentral:lncRNA from 1 species